GUAUCAGUCCAGAGAAACCAUCAGAAAGCUAGCUAGCUAGGAAUCAGUCCAGAGGAACCAUCAGAAAGCUAGCUAGCUAGCUAGGAAUCAGUCCAGAGGAACCAUCAGAAAGCCAGCUAGCUAGGAAUCAGUCCAGAGGAACCAUCAGAAAGCUAGCUAGCUAGGAAUCAGUCCAGAGGAACCAUCAGAAAGCUAGCUAGCUAGCUAGGAAUCAGUCCGGAGGAACCAUCAGAAAGCUAGCUAGCUAGGAAUCAGUCCAGAGGAACCAUCAGAAAGCUAGCUAGCUAGGAAUCAGUCCAGAGGAACCAUCAGAAAGCUAGCUAGCUAUGAAUCAGUCCAGAGGAACCAUCAGAAAGCCAGCUAGCUAGAUAUCAGUCCAGAGGAACCAUCAGAAAGCCAGCUAGCUAGGAAUCAGUCCAGAGGAACCAUCAGAAAGCUAGCUAGCUAGGAAUCAGUCCAGAGGAACCAUCAGAAAGCCAGCUAGCUAGGAAUCAGUCCAGAGGAACCAUCAGAAAGCUAGCUAGCUAGCUAGGUAUCAGUCCAGAGGAACCAUCAGAAAGCUAGCUAGCUAGGAAUCAGUCCAGAGGAACCAUCAGAAAGCUAGCUAGCUAGCUAGGAAUCAGUCCAGAGGAACCAUCAGAAAGCCAGCUAGCUAGGAAUCAGUCCAGAGGAACCAUCAGAAAGCUAGCUAGCUAGGAAUCAGUCCAGAGGAACCAUCAGAAAGCUAGCUAGCUAGGAAUCAGUCCAGAGGAACCAUCAGAAAGCCAGCUAGCUAGAUAUCAGUCCAGAGGAACCAUCAGAAAGCUAGCUAGCUAGGAAUCAGUCCAGAGGAACCAUCAGAAAGCUAGCUAGCUAGGUAUCAGUCCAGAGGGACACACAUUACGCAAGUAGAUGUUUCGUCUUCAGUUCAGUGUGGGACCGACGUUACACAGGUAGAUGUUUGUCUUCAGUUCAGUGUGGGACACAGAAGAAGCAGGCAGCAGUAGUAGUAGCAUAAAUAAGAUAUCAGCUCUUACGGUUUGUCUUCGGGAACCAUUUAAAAAACGAUAGAAACAGAAUGAUUCUUGUAUGUUGUGAGAUAUUUAAAACAAUAGACAGACAACAUGAUUGAAUGAAUCAAUAGUAGGCGAACUAGGUGGACCAACUUUUGUUUUAAACAACAACCUUUUUGACGUUUCAGUCAGAGAGUCUUAAUUUCACAGCUACCUAAAGAAUCCAAACGAAAACAUCUGUGUUGACUUUUCCUUGAAUAAGCCAUUCAGAAGCUUCCUCUUCCUGGUCCGUUAAACCGUUAAACCGUUAAACAGUUAAACAGUUACCAAGCUUGUGUUAGAACACGUCAAAGAUCCUGAGACGACACAGUUCUACAAAACUGAGCUAAAUAUAGCACACAGAUCUCUUUCUUUACAAAAAAUUAAUGGGGGAGGUGAACGUGGGGAUACAAGCCCCCCAACUGGAAUUACAGAUCUCUGUUGUUAUGUGUUCCAUUUAAUAACAAAUAUGAAAGAUAAUACAAGCAUGGCCACAGUAAUAUAUACCAUGAAAUGAGAAGCAACAGUCACAUUUCUUCAGGAGGAAAAAAA
rnacentral:lncRNA from 1 species